GCCCUUAUGGUAAAGAGGUUAAUACGUCGCCCUCUCACGGCGAAGUCGGCGGUUCGAUUCCGCCUAAGGGUACCA
rnacentral:tRNA from 1 species